GGGUCGCCGGGAGGUGGGUUGAGGACACCGGGAGGUGGUUUUGGGGGCUCCGGGGGCAGGGUUGGGGCUCUGGAGGGAGGUUUGGGGAAGCCGGGAGGUGGUUUUGGGAAGCCGGGAGGAGGGUUUGAGGCUCUGGGAGGAGGGUUUGAGGCUCCGGGAGGAGGGUUUGAGGCUCUAGGAGGUGGGUUGAGGACACCGAGAGGUGGUUUCGGGGCUCCGGGGGCAGGACUGGGGCUCUGGAGGGAGGUUUGGGGAUACCAGGAGGUGGUUUUGGGGUGCUCUGAGGAGGGUUUGGGGCUUUAGGGGGUGGUUUGGGGCGCCGGGCGGUGGUUUUGGGGCGCCAGGCGGUGGUUUUGGGGCACCGGGAGGAGGUUUUAGGGUGCCAGGAGGAGGGUUUAGGACUCUAGGGGGUGGUUUGGGAUGCCGGGAUGUGGUUUUGGGGCUCCAGGAGGAGGUUUUGGGACUCCAGGAGUAGGGUUGGGGAUGCCAAGAAGUGGUUUUGGGGCUCUAGGGGGAGGUUUUGGGGUAGUGAGAGGUUUUGUGGUGCUGGAUUGAGGGUCUGAAGACAAAUUUGAAGACAAAUACAGCAAGCCUCGAAAUUUCCUAAUUAAAAAAUCGGUCUUUUUCUGAGACGGGGGUUGAAUUCUUUUUAGCACUCUAAACUGUCAGCCCAGGCCCCCACGCAGCAUGGGAUUGCCUUAAAAAAUUGUGAGGCUUUUAAAUAGAGAAAAGAAUUAAUUACUUCAUGUAAUAGUACACUAGGUUGUGCUGUGCAAAAAUAUCAUGGAAACUCAUAUAUCUCAAAUAAUUUGGUAGUAAAGGGAUAACAUUCCUGCCAUUGUGUUGUUUUAAACACACUCUGGUCAUUUUUUAAGGUUUUCUUGAAAGAGCCAUGGGAGGUGUAUGGAAUAAUAAACUGUAUGGAACGUUUUCAGCUCUCUGUUGUGAGUGGGCGACUCAGACCACUUCUGUUGGUGCUGGCCCGUGGUUUACAAAGCAGGACACUUGGUGGUGGUGCCAGCAGGAGGCCAAAGGCUCGGUGUGGUUUAUUAGGGUGAGGAGAUGUCUGAGGGGCCGUAGCCCCUGCUCCCUCCAUCCUGCUGUAGGACUGGCAGGGCAGAAUCUCCUCUGAAUCCCACGUGGAGCAGCUGUCCUGGGUGCAGUGUCCGUGAGGUCAAAUGCUGUCUCUUCACUCAACAGUUGAGAGAUUUGGGCUUUGAAGUCAUCACUCCAGCACGUGGGGUUGGAUUGGGUAUGGUGUGACCCUCCCUCUUCUCCAAUUUACUUUGCCAGGCUUUUAGCAUCAAAGGUGGCAGUUCCUGGAGCAGAUAAGACCACUGGGUUAUGAUGGAGCAGAGCUGAGCAAUACAGAACUUGCUUUUUUCCUGGGAUAAUCCAUAGAGAUGGAUAUUGGGCAGUGAAAGUGCAAGAGGAAGCCAGCAUCAUGUGAUCGUGUUGGACUGGGAGAAGGUUUUCAUCAGGUCCUGGUACUGGGACAGAAAUGGAAUGAGAAGAUUCUCUUGAGCUCGCUCUUGUCUUGCACCUUGAGGUCUGCUACAGAAUGGAUUUGCACAAGCAAGCGCUUCCAACGCUUUUGAAAAACCCUGCCCCAAACAUUUGCAAACCCGAUUGCCCAGAUUCCUAAACCCAUGUGUGGGCAUCUAAUUGAAAACGGUCCGAUUUCCAGAAGUUUGCCUGCUGAUGAAAAAGAACACGCUGGGGAAUGUUUCCUAUGCAAACAGAGUGAUCACGGGACUGCCUCCCGGUGGGAUCCCGCCACUCACCAGGGCCGAUUUCAAAGCCCCCCGGCUCCCCAGCCCUGACCCCGUGGUCCCCGGGGGCUGCUCCUGGAGGGGCAGGUGGGGAACCAUCGGCUUGCUCAACGCCUGCAACUGGUGGUCUCCAUGGGGUGCGGAAAGGCUCCUCGCCCUGCCGGCUGCAGCUUCCUUAGGAAAGCAGCAGUCAGGAUUAAUUGGAGUAAUAGCUGCGCAUCCCUACUGGAGUUACCACCGGUGUCCCCGAGGCCCCGUAUCUGAUUUGGCUCGGGGCUCCCAGCGGUUCAGCUUCUAAACCUCCGGCUGUCAGUGUUAGAGCUACUCGGCCGCCCCUGCCUUCGGACGAUGCCGUGGUGGGUGAGUAAAAGGAAUGCCGUUCGCCUUGGACGCCGUCCCUCCCCAAGGCAGAGGAAAUGUGCACUGACAAGGCAGGAAAUUCUCGCGAACCACAAGGACCUGGAACUUGCCUCCUGGCUUCCUGUGGGCCUUACCCGACUUUCAGCCUGGGUGUUUAAAGAUUAUUAAUAGCGCUGGUUGCGUUAACAGGUUUAUGUUUUUCUCCUUCUGUCAACGAGGUUAUAUCUUCAUGUGAGACCUGCUGGCUGUUUUUGUUCCAAGCAGCCAGGGGAGGACCCAAGAGGCCGGUGUUGCGGCACAGCGAUCCCUUCGAGCUGAUGGGCAGCCAGGCGGGGAUUUUGCCUGGUGGAAGGCUCUCGGUCACAAGUAGACAGGCUCUGAAGCCUCCUCUGCAAAACAAAUAGCUCCAAACUGGGACAGGCUUAGCACAGCGAAGGAUUUUGUUUCACAAGUAUCCCUUUUCAGCAGCGGUGCGCUUCUGGAUCGCAGUCGCUUUCUCCUUGCCGUGGCUGCUCGUUCCUGUCCUGCACUGCUCCCUUCUCUCAUCAUCUUGUAAACUCUGCAUGGCUGCGGGGUGGCCCAGCUGGACCUCAGCUUAAAAAGAAAAAAGGCACAAA